rnacentral:rRNA from 1 species
AUUGAACGCUGGCGGCAGGCCUAACACAUGCAAGUCGAGCGGAGCGGCGGACGGGUGAGUAAUGCCUAGGAAUCUGCCUGGGAGCGGGGGAGAACGUCCGCGAAUGGGCGCUAUUACUGAUUCCUCUCAGCUGAGCCUAGGUCGGAUUAGCGAGUUGGUGGGGUAAAGGCCUACAAAGGCGACGAUCCGUAACUGGUCUGAGAGGAUGAUCAGUCACACUGGAACUGAGACACGGUCCAGACGCCUACGGGAGGCAGCAGUGGGGAAUAUUGGACAAUGGGCGAAAGCCUGAUCCAGCCAUGCCGCGUGUAUGAAGAAGGUCUUCGGAUUGUAAAGCACUUUAAGUGAGGAGGCGUUACUAGCAGAAUAAGCACCGGCUAACUUCGUGCCAGCAGCCGCGGUAAUUC